ensembl:lncRNA
AAAUGUUCACCAGGGUACAGGAAGCUGCCAUUGUAAACUUGGUUUUGGAAAAUAAUGAAAUCAGAUUACGAGAAAUUCAAAGCCACAUCAUCCAAGACAACACCUUAUUCAACAACAUUCAACGAGUCAGUCUGUCCACAUUGGCUCGCAUUCUCAAGCGAAACCAAAUCAGAAUGAAACAACUUUAUAAGGUGCCGUUUGAGAGAAACUCUCAAAGAAACAAAGAGUUCAGACGAGCAUAUGUGGAUGGAGUACUGGAAAUGGAUGCUCAUGCAAUCCCACAUGAGUUCAUCUUUACAGAUGAGGCUGGGUUCAACCUAGCAAAGACCAGAAGAAGGGGGAGAAACGUCAUUGGCCACAGAGCCAUUAUAGAUGUUCCUGGCCAAUGUGGUGGGAACAUCACAAUGUGUGCUGCCAUCUCCAGUAUGCAUGGUGUCCUCCACUGUCAUGCCAACCUUGGACGAUACAACACAGCCCAUAUUCUCACAUUUCUGGACAGACUUCACAACCUUCUCAUACCACCAGAGCGUAUGAAUGAUGCAGACCUUCAAAGAAGCCGGUACGUUGUAGUAUGGGACAACGUGAGCUUUCAUCGUGCAGCCCCAGUCCAAAACUGGUUUGCUGACCACCCAACAUUUCUCGUGCAAUACCUCCCACCAUACUCACCAUUUCUGAACCCCAUAGAAGAGUUAUUUUCGGCAUGGCGGUGGAAGGUAUACGACCAGC